rnacentral:rRNA from 1 species
AGAACGAACGCUGGCGGCAUGCCUAAUACAUGCAAGUCGAACGAACACUUCGGUGUUAGUGGCGCACGGGUGCGUAACGCGUGGGAAUCUGCCCUUGGGUUCGGAAUAACAGUUGGAAACGACUGCUAAUACCGGAUGAUAUCGAAAGAUCAAAGAUUUAUCGCCCAGGGAUGAGCCCGCGUAGGAUUAGCUAGUUGGUGAGGUAAAGCUCACCAAGGCGACGAUCCUUAGCUGGUCUGAGAGGAUGAUCAGCCACACUGGGACUGAGACACGGCCCAGACUCCUACCGGGAGGCAGCAGUACGGGAUAUUGGACAAUGGGCGCAGCCUGAUCCAGCAAUGACCAGUGAUGAUGAAGGCCUAGGGUU